rnacentral:rRNA from 1 species
UACGGGGGGGGCAAGCGUUGUUCGGAAUUACUGGGCGUAAAGGGCUCGUAGGCGGCCAACUAAGUCGGAUGUGAAAUCCCCAGGCUCAACCUGGGAACUGCAUCCGAUACUGGAUGGCUUGAAUCCGGGAGAGGGAUGCAGAAUUCCAGGUGUAGCGGUGAAAUGCGUAGAUAUCUGGAGGAACACCGGUGGCGAAGGUGGCUGCCUGGGACGCGCCUGACACUGAGAAGCGAAAGCUAGGGGAGCAAACGGG